rnacentral:rRNA from 1 species
UACGGAGGAUGCGAGCGUUAUCCGGAUUUAUUGGGUUUAAAGGGUGCGUAGGCGGAUCGUUAAGUCAGUGGUCAAAUUGAGGGGCUCAACCCCUUCCCGCCAUUGAAACUGGCGAUCUUGAGUGGAAGAGAAGUAUGCGGGAUGCGUGGUGUAGCGGUGAAAUGCAUAGAUAUCACGCAGAACCCCGAUUGCGAAGGCAGCAUGCCGGCUUCCUACUGACGCUGAAGCACGAAAGCGUGGGGAUCGAACAGG